CCGUAGCCCAAGAGAUCGGGAUAACACCUGGAAACAGAUGCUAAUACCGGAUAACAACAGAUGAUGCCUAUCAACUGUUUAAAAGAUGGUUCUGCUAUCACUCUUGGAUGGACCUGCGGUGCAUUAGCUAGUUGGUAGGGUAACGGCCUACCGAGGCGAUGAUGCAUAGCCGAGUUGAGAGACUGAUCGGCCACAUUGGGACUGAGACACGGCCCAAACUCCUACGGGAGGCAGCAGCC
rnacentral:rRNA from 1 species